UACGUAGGUGGCAAGCGUUGUCCGGAUUUAUUGGGCGUAAAGGGAGCGCAGGUGGUUUCUUAAGUCUGAUGUGAAAGCCCACGGCUUAACCGUGGAGGGUCAUUGGAAACUGGGGAACUUGAGUGCAGAAGAGGGAAGUGGAAUUCCAUGUGUAGCGGUGAAAUGCGUAGAGAUAUGGAGGAACACCAGUGGCGAAGGCGGCUUCCUGGUCUGUAACUGACACUGAGGCGCGAAAGCGUGGGGAGCAAACAGGAUUAGAUACCCUGGUA
rnacentral:rRNA from 1 species